rnacentral:rRNA from 1 species
AUUGAACGCUGGCGGCAGGCUUAACACAUGAAAGUCGAGGGGGGGAAGGGAGCUUGCUACCGGACCUAGCGGCGGACGGGGGAGUAGUGCUUAGUAAUCUGCCUAUUAGGGGGGGACAACAUAUCGAUAGGGAUGCUAAUACAGCAUACGUCAUACGGGAGAAAGCAGGGGAUCUUCGGACCUGGCGCUAAUAGAUGAGCCUAAGUCGGAUUAGCGAGUUGGUGGGGUAAAGGCCUAGCAAGGUGACGAGCUGUAGCGGGGCUGAGAGGAUGAGCCGCCACACUGGGACUGGGACACGGGCCAGACUCCUACGGGAGGCAGCAGUGGGGAAUAUUCGACAAUUGGGGGAACCCUGAUCGAGCCAUGCCGCGGGUGUGAAGAAGGUCUUAUGGUUGUAAAGCACUUUUAGCGAGGAAGAAGCUACUCUAGUUAAUACAUAUGGCUAGUUGACGUUACUCGCAGAAUAAGCACCGGCUAACUCUGUGCCAGCCGCCGCUGUAA